GAUGAACGCUGGCGGCGUGCUUAACACAUGCAAGUCGAACGGAAAGGCCCAAGCUUGCUUGGGUACUCGAGUGGCGAACGGGUGAGUAACACGUGGGUGAUCUGCCCUGCACUUCGGGAUAAGCCUGGGAAACUGGGUCUAAUACCGGAUAGGACCACAUUUUGGAGGGUGUGGUGGAAAGUUUUUCGGUGUGGGUUGAGCUCGCGGCCUAUCAGCUUGUUGGUGGGGUAAUGGCCUACCAAGGCGUCGACGGGUAGCCGGCCUGAGAGGGUGUACGGCCACAUUGGGACUGAGAUACGGCCCAGACUCCUACGGGAGGCAGCAGUGGGGAAUAUUGCACAAUGGGCGCAAGCCUGAUGCAGCGACGCCGCGUGGGGGAUGACGGCCUUCGGGUUGUAAACUCCUUUCGCUAGGGACGAAGCGUUAUGUGACGGUACCUGGAGAAGAAGCACCGGCUAACUACGUG
rnacentral:rRNA from 1 species